ACCCCCAGAAAUGGAUCUUGCACGAAGAACUGCCUUUAGAGGGAAGCAAGCUGGGGGAGAUACUUUGGACUCAAAUCUUGGGACAGCAUCUCAACCUUCUUCAGCCCAAAGCCAUCAGUAAUUUGAUACUGUACUCCGGGCAAGCAGCAACCCUGUGAGCGACGUGGAGGCCUGGCCAUAUAAAUGCAUCUCUGACAGCUUCCUGUUGCUCCCUAAUUUGAGCUUUGGCAGGCCACCAGAGGAAGUGAAUCCCUGAGACUCUCCUGAUGCAAGACGAGCAAAGAAAAGGAAGCAGGCAAGGAGGGAAAAAGCAAUGGCAACAAAUACUGGUGAUCUCUUACAUGGGCAAGAUUGCAAAAUAGGAAGAGACCAAGGAGAAAGACAAACCACUUCUUUAAAGGUGAUGACUUCAUUUUGGGAGCAGACCCACCUCGACACCCAAGCGCCACGU